rnacentral:lncRNA from 1 species
CCCAGCCCAACCCUUUUCAACCCUGACCUUCCCCAUUCGCUCAAACCAUAACACACGUGAAUAUACUAACAAAAUCCCUAAAUCAACGCGUACUGUUCUUCUUCUCCGAAGAACACACGAACCAAGCCCCAAAUUCCGUCCUAAUCCGGGCAAGUGAAUCCCAAAUCCUAACCCAUGCAUCCCUCCUUCUCUCAUCUCACCAUUUCUAACAGUUUCUGACAUUGAAGAUGCUCCUCCCCUUCACUCGCUCAAAUCAGAAAUGAGGCACACGAUUGGAAGGUCCUAGAGACGAUUCGUUGGAUGAGGGUGAGUUGUUGGAUUGAUUUUGUUCAAUCCAAGCCCCAUUUUUACCAAGGGUUCGUCUCUAUAAAGGAAAAUAUCUGAUUUAAGAGAGGAGGUUUUUUUUUCCGGAGGAUUUCUCGGCAGAUUUUGAGAGUAAGUUAAAAUUCUAGAGAUUAGUCUUUUUCAUCUUUAUUGUUGAUUUUCAUUCGUAUUAACUUCAAAAAAUAUAUUCAAAAAAUGUUCGAUAUUCUGUGAUUCCACUGUUGUUUGUUUUACUGUCUACCAGCUUCGAAAUACAUGAAUUCCGUCUUCAAAGUUACUGGAAUUCGUUGUUGAUCGAGGCAUCGAUUUGUGGCUGAUGUUGCUUUGUGUCGAUUUCAGUGUUGAGAUUCUUUCAAAAUUUGAUUCCAGGUUCACCUCUAUUUCUUCUUUUAUUUCUAUUAUGAAGUGAGCCCUGGACGGCCCUGGACGGAUUGUAAAAUGAAUUCAGUUACAAUAAUAGAUGAGGCUUGUGUGGUUAUAUUCGAUUUAUUUGCUGUUAUGCUUUCAAUGUUUUCCAUGAGUUCAUUUGUUGCUUUGUGUCGAUUUUAGUGUUGAGACUAUUUCAAAUUUUCAUUCCAGGUUCACCUCUGUUUCUCCUUUUAUUUUUGUUAUGAAGUGAACCCUGGAUGGACUGUAAAAUGAAUUUAGUCACAAUAAUAGAUGAGGCUUGUGUAGUUAUCUUUAAUUUUAUUUACUGAUAUGCUUUCAACGUCUUCCAUGAUUUCAUAUGUUAGUGAGCUAGUUUCUAAAUGGUCGAAGAUCAACUUUUCUUGGUUUCAACAUCAUAGUUGUGUUUAUACAGACUUCAUAGAUGUUUUUGGUGUCAUCAUUCGGCUUAGACCUACUUCGAACAUUUUUGAUCUAGCAUCGAGCUUAGCCCUAUAUGGUGUCAAGGUUGUUCCUUGUUGCAUCUGUUCGAGAGUAAGCUUUGGUGAGCUCUCGUUGCUGAUGUUUGAAUCCUGAAUGAGUGUUCAAGUCACCUUUGAGAUGCUAAGAAUUAAGGCUCUAUCCGGUUCCGGUUCUGGGUCUAUUUGGGUCUGCGGUUUCGGUUCUGGCGGUUCCGGUUCCGGAGGUUCUGAAGGUGGAAUCGUCCCGUGACGGUUCCGGGUACCAUCCGGUUCUGGUUUUGGCGGUUUCGGUUCCGGCGGUUCCCGGCGGUUCUGAAUUUUUUUUUAAAAUCAAUAUCCUGUAUAGUAGUCAUUAGAAUAUUGUAGGAUAUAUUUUAUAUGGUGUACUAUAUUAUUAGUAUAGUAUAUAUUGUGUUUGGUAAUUAGUAUA